UGUUCUGCAGCAUGCAAUAGAAGAUAGAGAUGAGCGGCGUCCAUCUCCAAGGCAACCCAGAGAUGCACAUUCCAGGCAUCUUUUGGUUGGAGUCUGCAUCCACAGUUCAGUACAGAGUUAGACGCCAUGCUGGGUAAUAGUGAGAACCCCUUUGGAAAAGAGCAGCACAGCAGUACUGGAAAUGGCAGUUGGCAAGACUUACUGAAAGGAUUACAUUCAUGUUUCUGUCUUUUACAUGAAGAUUCAACAGCUACGUUUUUUUAAAAAGGACAAAUUGGAAUCAGUUGCUUCACUACAGUGCUUCUCCAGAUGGAAAUUGACAAGCAGUUGCACUCCACUGGGUAAGCUCUGCAUGUCGUAGUCAUUGGGAUGCUCUACGCCGAACAAAGUAUAGGUGAAGGAGAGAGAGAGGAGAAACAAUGACCUAUCAGCAACAGAUGAUCAGAAUGGCAAGCAUUUUAUCCUUCAUGAAGAGUCACCCUGUCUGCUUUUAUCAUCUCAUCUCCCCCACCACUCAUUGUAUGUUUCCUGUGGGACCUCUCUCCACCACUGGUGGCCCUGGUCUCACUGUCAGCUCCUAGAGUCUCCAGUUGGUGGCUGGCAUCUCCAACCUGAGGGUGUUCCAGGCGCUGGGAAUGACAGAAACCUUUGGUUUGCCAGUAGUCAGCCACCCUAUGCUGGGGUACCUGUCUCCUCCCACAAUGCAGGUUUUGGGCCAGUCCCUGGGGACUACCCCUUGAUGUGGUGGACAGGCUUGUGUGUUCCAGUGACACUCAGAACUAAGCCAGCGGGAGCUUGAAUUGCUGGGAGGCCUCCCUAUGCCAGAGAGGUCAAAGGACAGCGAGCAGAUGAAAAGCAGCCCCGGGUUGGGUUUCAGUGAUGAGCUAAUGACAUAUCCUCACAAAACAGGGACGUUAUAGAAACACAAGGUCAGUACUUACGUGGAGCCUUGUUCGUGGCCUAAGUGACAUUUGAUGGCACAGAAAGGAUCCUGUUUCAGAAAGUUCUGAGUGGAUGGAGCAUGUCCUGCAGCAACCUUGACUUCUACUAACGCUGGCAUUUGUUUGCUGGUAGUAACCCUAAGCGAGACAAGGAGGGGGCUGUCACGGCUUUUAUUGGACCAGCUUUAAAAGCUGUGCCCUCCCCCACCUUAUCUCUCUAAUAUCCUGGGAUGGACUCGGCCACACUACCCUGCAUACAAUAGGAAUCGCUGUUAGUUAUCUAAUUCCUUUUAGUGUCCACACAAGGACCCUGCCCUCAUUUCUAAAGCCCAGAUUUCGAAUGGUAUUAGGCAUAUACAAAAUCUGGGCCUUAGUCAACAGUUCAUUAGCCCGAUCAAAAAGACUGAACUGGCAGCUGCUCCUCACCUCAAACCCAAAAAAGUAUUAACUGAAGAUUAAAUCAACCCAAUCAAUCCUGUCUGUGAUGGAGCUCACCCCCCAUCACUUCACCUGCAAGGUAAGGGAUACAAUUCCAGUUAGUGAUGUGCUGCACCUGGCCUCCUAGCCAGAUGAGACAGAUAGGCCCGAUAAGUAGCCUGAGGGAGCUCAGGGGGGGGAUUUUGUUCCCCUCCUCUGAGGAAGGUCUGGGACAGGUAGACUAAGCAAAGCUAUAGGGAUAGGACUGGCCAUUGGAAAAAAGAGGUGAGAUCUAGGGGAGACUGCAGAAAGGGCAGGACUCUCCUAUGGGAGGGAGCCCUGAGGGAUUAUAUGGUGAAGUUGCCUGUGAUUACCCAGGAGGUCCAUUUCAGCCUGAUGAUCUUGGUCCUUCUCCGUGCUGAUCCACACACAAAAUGUGAAUUGUCACAGUCCUCAGCUACAGAGCUUUAAAUCCAGCUAUCGUAGCUCGUGCUUUGAACUCGAGAGGUUGGUUUGCGGUUCAAUCCCACCGGGUCAGCCAAGAGGGCACUCGUCACACUGGAACAUUCUACAAACCAUUAAUCCUUCAGCUUCCUGGACAGAGAACCUAUAAAAGCCAGGGAAUUUCUAUUUA